AUGGCUCGAUCGGGCCGCGGCGGCUCUCCGGAUGGAAGCCAGCUGGCCCGGCCCCUGUUCCCCCGAGGCGGACCGGACCGCCGGCCCCGCCCGCCUGUGUCAGGGCUGGCAGGGGCCGGCGCAGGCGAUGUCGCAGCCCGAGCAGGUCGGGAGCCGAGCGGAGCCGGGGGGCGCGGAGCAGGGAGCGCCACUGGUGCAGCUCGGGGAGCAGGAGGCGGCUCGUCGCCCCGCGGCCGAGCCAGGCGGCACCACUGCAGGUCUCUACUCAGAUAUCUGGUCAUGGAAGCGCACUGCAAUUCUUCUUGCUUGUAUUAGUAUUGGAGCAGUCAUCCUGAGUAUUUGCUUUGGAGUUAAAUCAUCAGGCAAGAACUCUUCUGUCUCACCUGCUGUGAAUCCCUGCCCUGCUGACUGGCUGUGUUACCAAAAUGAAUGUUACUACCUGUCGGAGCAAGAAAACAACUGGAACUCCAGUCAGAGAGAUUGUUCCUCCAGGAAAGCCUCCCUCUUUGUGCCUAAAAACCAACAGGAACUGCAGUUUAUAACAAAAAUAACAAAGCAAGAUCCCUGGAUUGGACUUCACAAGAAAGGAGAAGACUUCUUUUGGGUAAAUGGAACUGCAAUGAAUAAGAAUCUGUGGCAAGUGAAAGGUUCAGGAGAAUGUGCCUACAUUGAAUCUGAAGAAAUCUCGUUCUCUGGAUGUUCUUUAACCAGGAACUGGGUCUGUAAAAAGACCCAUAACAUGGGACCACCUGGCCUUUCAUACAUAACUUCAUGACCAGCCGGCAACUGCAGCAACUGACAGUGUUGGGGACCUACUCCUUGUCUUUUCCUGUUUCCCUGGCUCAUGCCCAUUCCCUUUUUCACUGCCAGCCUGUACCUCCUGUGUUCUAAGUGGGUACUGCCGAUCUUUGAAGGAAACCCCUGUUGCUUCUUCAUGUUUACUGGGGAGACUCUUCUGGAGUAAUUCAGCUCCCUGGCACAAAGACCUCCAGUCCUGGAUGCGUUCUUACCAGAUUUCAAAGACUCGCUGAUAGUCACCUGGAGCCAAGGAAGACAAAUAUAUCAGCCUGAUUUUUGGUUGGUAAGCACCAUGGGAAGAAUAUUCACGUGCAUAUUUCCUGUGAUCAACUGCACAACACUUGGAGCUGUGUUCAGUAGAUAAGAAGUUGUGUGCUAGGAACUCACAUGUCAUCAUGUCUGUUGGGCACUCUUCAGCAAAGUCAGACUUAAAGGCCUUCAAGGCCCUCAGAAAACAUGUCAUUAGGCUGCUGGCCCAGCCUGAAGCCAUUGCUGCUGUACGUUCCUUUCUCUUCUUUCCUAUGCAAGUGAGACUGAAGUUAGCAGAAGCAUGCCUAUGUAAGCGUACAGCCUUACCUUUAUUUCACUAUGCAGAGGUGCCUUUCCUGAGGACAGUCAGGUAUCCAUAACUUCUGCCUCACCCUCUCCAAAACUCAUGGCUUCAUCAGCUUUCCACAUGAGCACCAGUGGAAAGGUCCUGAGUUUCUCCUCAUCAGCCUUCCUCAGAGACUCUGGAAGGUGUUCCAAACUCUAAAGCAUGUAACAGAGACAUUGGUAGAGCUGCUUCUUGAUAAUCCAGCAGAGGACAGACUGCAGCCAGAAGGAACAGUACCAUGCAGACUCUGGGGACAGUCUCCUGAGAGUUCCUUUUCGUUCGUAAACUCGUUAACUCGUAACUCGUUUUGCUAUCCGUGACAACGCAAGCAAGCUACCUCGAGGCCUGCGCUGCCAUUCCAUGCGGCGUAAGUAAAAGCAAUUUUUUAAAACCAAUAAGCUGUCUCGCCUCUCCAUCGCCAGCCCACCUGACGUCCGAUUAAAUUAGUGAUCCUCUGGUCGGCUCCGGCCACCCGAGACAAGAACUAAUGCAUUUGGUGGAUUAGGGUGGAGCUCUUGACAGCCAAAGGGGUGUAUAACCACUGUAGCCUUUCUGGAUCUGCUUCUGUGGCAGGAUGGCUCAAGCCUGGAGGUUCAGUUCCUUUUCCUUAGAGUUAGUGCCAUGUUGCCAAGCACAAAAGGCCUUGCACUUGUGAUUGAUCAACUCUUGGAUCUCCUGGUCAUUCUCAUCCAACCAGUCUUGAUUUUUCCUGGUAGAGAAUCCAAGUGUCUCUUUACAGGCAGUGAUGAUGGUGGCAUUGAGGGCACCCAGCAUACUGCUGACAUUCUCCCAUUCCUGUUGAUUGGAAUUCACCAGUUUUUUGUUAAGGCACUCAUGGAAGACAUCUUGCUUGGUUGGGUCCUUGAGUCCUUCAAUGUUGAUCUUCCAGCAGCAUUGCUUCUGCUGCAGCUGCCUUUGGGAGCCAGUUUGAGUGAAAUAACCUAGUCGAUGAGUGGAUUAUGAUCAGUCCAGCAGUCAUCAGCUCCUAGCAUAGCUCGGGUGAUGUAGACAUCUUUGCAAUCCAAGGCAUGACCAAUGACAUAGUCUAUUUGUUGCCAAUGCUUAGACUAUGGGUGUUGCCAGGAUAUCUUGUGCCUGUUUUCCUGGCAGAACAGGGUGUUGGUGAUGGUGAGUCCAUGUUCCGUGCAUUUAGUCAAGAGGAGGAUGCCAGUGGAGUUGACUUUUCCUUUUCCUUUUCCUUCCUUGUUGAUGGUUCCAUUCCAGAGGUUUCUUGCCAUUGGGACAGCUUCCUUCAUGAAGCUCCAGGGCUCCAUAGGACUUGGUGCUGCCAUGUAGCAGAGACCUAGCUGGUCAUCUGAGAAAUCCAUCUUCUCUCCUGGGCCCUGUACUCAGCCUCUGGUCCUUGCUCUCUGGGCUUUGCCCUGACACUUUUAUAUGGGAGGGUUCCAGGGUGAUGUUAACUGGGGACAGUUCACAGGUAUCUUCUCCACUUGGACUGGGAAGGACAGCUCAAGGGGAGACCCUGGGCUGGGGUUUGGGUGAUGGGGAGGCCAGAGUGUGAAGUUAGUGUGGAGACAGAUCAAUUCCUUCAUGGCAACAGCCUCAACACCAGGCCACUCUGCAGCCCUUCACUGAUCUCGCUGCUAAUUGCAGCUCCUCCCAUGUCCUCAGUGAUACUGCCUGAGAAAGAAAAAGAAACUGCACAAGGCUGGGGGCCCCAAGCAAGGACCCCCAUUGAGGAAUCUGUGACAGGGUUCCUUUUUAACGAAAAGCAGUUUCGUUAGGGAAAUACCAAACCAGAGCUUCAGGUGGUGACACUGCAGCUGCUUCAUAGGCCUGUGUGAGUAGGGAAUUACUAGAUUUGGAUCUGGAUUCAGCAGAUUUGGAUGCCAGUGAUUUGAUUCAGAUCUCCGAAUUGUUUUUCCGCUUCGAUUCAGAGCCGAUUCGGAGAUUCAGCCAUGGAGUAUAAUGGGGAAUCAAUGAAAUAUCUAUAACUGUUGUUUUUUGUCUGAUUCAGAUGAAACCUGCAGGGCUGGUAGCCUCUGCAGAGAGCAUAAAGCCUACCAGGUAUCAAGGUGAUAGGUGCAGGGCUUUCUGGGAAACUGCACCUCAAAGUCCAGAAAGCAAAACUCAUGCCACGUGUGUGUUAUACCACAGGGGGGCUGAAAACUGCAGGGGUGGUAGCCCCUGCCAAGGCCACACAGCCUGCCAAGUUUCAAGGAGAUAGAUGCAGGGGCUUGGGGUAAACUGCACCCCAAGCUGCAGACAAGUAAAACUCGUGACAUAGGUGACAGUGUGUGUGUUAAGGCACAGCAGGGUGAAAGCUGCAGGCCUGCUAGCCCCUGCUGAGGCCAUGAAGCCUGCCAGCUGUCAAGGAGAUAGGUGCGGGGGGAGUCUGGCUUUGGUGGGUGACAUUGUGUGUGCACUAAGGUGAGCCCUUACCGGCACUGGGCCUCUACACAACAUGGCAGUGUGCCCCAGUGAGGCUUACUCCUCCCCUACAGCCUCAGUCUGGUCCACUGCUUUACAUGACAACCGAUAAAAUAACUUAGUGACUGACUUUGCACUAGCAGUAGCACCAGCAGCAUCUCAGGUAGCCAAACUGUCAGAGAGCCCUUCUUUCCUCUCAAGUAUUACCUGCUUCUUCUCUAGCGUGUCUGUUAAGGUGUGCUCUCACUCUGUGUGUGUGUGUGUGUGUGUACUUGUGUUCAGGUGCGCCCUCACUGGCGCUGGGGCCUCUGCACAACACGGCAUUGUGGCCCAGUGAGGUCUCCUCCUCCCCUACAACCUCAGGUCAAUCCACCACUGUAAACAACGGCAGGUCAAAAUAACUUAGCUGGCUCGAUACCAGUAGCAGCAGCAGCAGCAGCAGCAUCAAAGGUGCCCAAACAGACCUGUCACAAAGCCUGUUGUUUUAUAAAGGAAUUGACAGCAAGAAAUAAAGAUGUUGUGUUGGAUA